rnacentral:lncRNA from 10 species
AUUGUGGUCUAUAAUAUAUAGUCUCCAAUAGCCAGCAAUUCACUAUGGCCCACGGUCUCAGAAUCACCCAAGGAGAGGUCAAAAAAAAAAAACACUGAUUCCCACCAAACCGUCUGAUAUGGUUUGGAUCUCAUGUCAAAUUGUAAUCCCCAAUGUUGGAGGUGGGGCCUGAUGGGAGGUGAUUGGAUCGUGGGGGCCAUUUCUUAUGGAUUAACACCAUCCCCCAGGUGCUGUCGUGGUAAGAGUGAGUCAUCUCCGGAUCUGGUGGUUUAGGAGUGUGUGGCACCUCCCCCUUCUCUUCCUGCUGCUCCAGGCAUGAGAAGUGCUCGCUCCCUCUUUGCCUUCCGCCACGUUUGUAAGUUUCCUGAGGCCUCCGAAGCCGAGCAAAUGCCAGCAUCAUCCUUCCUGUACAAGCCUGCAGAACUAAUGAGUCGCAUGGCUUCACACAGGUGUCAAGGAGCCUGGCAAGCUCCCUGCUGGGAGCCAUUUACCAGCUGCAACUCCACCCUACGGAAGAGAGAGUAGGCAUCUGGGUGGACAAUGAGUUGUUCCUGCCACCAGGAUCUUAUGUUUAUUCACUGCCAUGAUGACCUGAAUUAUUUUGGAUAGAAGACACUUCAGGAUUCAAUAGGAAGGAUCAGUGAGGCAACAGGAGUGGCGGCAGAGAAAGAACCACUAUGAAGUUUAAAGAGACACUUAGAAACAGAAUGGUCAUGAACAACGCCCAGUGAGUCCCAUGAGACUGCUUAUUGAAAACACUGGUUACACUAUGUGUUUCUACCUCUGAAAAAGACAUGCUAGUUUCCCACAGUGGUUGUAAACAUGUCAAUUGCUUUUUUUUUUUUUUUUUUUUUUUUUUUUUUGUGAGAUGGAGUCUUGCUGUGUCGCCCAGGCUAGAGUGCAGUGGCACAAUCUCGGCUCACUGCAAACU